rnacentral:rRNA from 1 species
GGUUCGAUUCCGGAGAGGGAGCCUGAGAAACGGCUACCACAUCCAAGGACGGCAGCAGGCGCGCAAAUUACCCAAUCCAGACACUGGGAGGUAGUGACGAGAAAUACUGGGGGCGCUCCAUGCGAGUGCCAUCCGGAAUGAACGUAACACAAAAAAUUCGAUGAGGAUCUACUGGAGGGCAAGUCUGGUGCCAGCAGCCGCGGUAAUUCCAGCUCCAGUAGUGUAUAUCAACAUUGUUGCGCUUAAAACGCUCGUAGUUGGAUUACAGAGCUCCAAACAUGCCCGCCCGCACUCGCGGGUGUCGGUGUGGUCGAUGCAAGCGCCGCCAGCCGGACAACAGUCCUGGUCGGCGGCGUAGCGAGACGGAGCUCUUUUGUCGCACUGGUUCUGGUCGGUGUCUUUGCUGACGCUGGCCAGCUGCCGGUGGAGUGUGCCUUGAAUAAAGCAUAGUGCUCAAAGCAGGCGAACGCUCGUGUGUAAUAGCAUGGAACGAAUAGAUUGACUGCGGCCGGGCGCCGGUGCGGCGGCGAGAGUCGCUGUGUCGCGUCGCGGCCGUCCAGGGCUCGAUCAGUGUUGGUUGGAGUCGCGGUCUCAACGGUUAACAGGGACACCUGAGGGCACUAGUACUUUGUGGCGAGAGGUGAAAUUCUUAGACCCACAAAAGACUGACUACUGCGAAAGCAUUUGCCAAGAGUGUUUUCAUUAAUCAAGAACGAAGGUCAGAGGAUCGAAGACGAUCAGAUACCGUCCUAGUUUUGACAGCAAACUAUGCCGGCAUAGGGUUGGGGCGGUCGCUGCUGAACAGGCAGUCGAACCACCUCAGGCCUUAGGGGAAACCUAGCUUUCGGGCUGCUGGGAGAAUAUCGCUGCAAGGCUGAAAUUUAAAGAAAUUGACGGAGAGGCACCACCAGGAGUGGAGCCUGCGGCUUAAUUUGACUCAACACGGGGAAACUCACCAGGUCCAGACAUUGGCAGGAUUGACAGACUGGUAGAUCUUUCAUGAUUCAGUGAAUGGUGGUGCAUGGCCGUUCUUAGUUGGUGGAGUGAUCUGUCAGGUCUAUUCCGGUAACGAGCGAGACCACGGCCUUUAGUUGCGUCGGCUGGAUUGCAGUGUCGGCGGCGUCACGUCGCCGGCCACCAGCCCGCCUAGAGGGACUAUUGGUGUUCUAUUAAACCAGGGGAAGCGUGGCAAUAACAGGUCUGUGAUGCCCUUCGAUGUCCUGGGCUGCACGCGCGCUACAAUGGCAGCAGCAGAGAGCGUCGACUAGCCAGAGAUGGCCGGUUAAACUGUAAACAGCUGUCGUGAUAGGGAUUGAGCCUUGCAAUUUUUGCUCAUGAAAGAGGAAUUCCUCGUAAGCACGAGUCAUCAGCUCGUGUUGAAUACGUCUCUGCCUCUUGUACACACCGCCCGUCGCUACUACCGAUUGAAUUGCUUCUAAAGCUGGCUGGACCGGACCUGUGCCCUAGGG